UGUUGUAUUUCCCGAGCUCCAUUGCGGAAGCCGAGACUCGCCAUAUUGUGCGGCGGCGCCGGCGGCCGCGGCGGUUUGUACCCGAGUCUCGCUCCGGCCGCGGCCAGCGGAGCCCGGGGCUGGGGCAGGAGCCGCAAUGUCUCAGGCUGUGCAGACAAAUGGAACUCAGCCAUUAAGCAAAACAUGGGAACUCAGUUUAUAUGAAUUACAACGAACACCUCAGGUAGAAUUUAAUUUUAAAGUGAUGCUUUUACAGGAGGCAAUAACGGAUGGUUUAGAAAUUGUGGUUUCACCUCGAAGUCUACACAGUGAAUUAAUGUGCCCAAUUUGCUUGGAUAUGUUGAAGAAUACCAUGACUACAAAAGAGUGUUUACAUCGUUUUUGUGCAGACUGCAUUAUCACAGCCCUCAGAAGUGGCAAUAAAGAAUGCCCUACCUGUCGGAAAAAGCUAGUUUCCAAAAGAUCACUAAGACCAGACCCAAACUUUGAUGCACUCAUCAGCAAAAUUUAUCCAAGUCGUGAUGAGUAUGAAGCUCAUCAAGAAAGAGUAUUAGCCAGGAUCAACAAGCACAAUAAUCAGCAAGCGCUCAGUCACAGCAUUGAGGAAGGACUGAAGAUACAGGCCAUGAACAGAUUACAGCGAGGCAAGAAACAACAGAUUGAAAAUGGUAGUGGAGCAGAAGACAAUGGAGACAGUUCUCACUGUAGUAAUGCAUCCACACAUAGCAAUCAGGAGGCAGGACCUAGUAACAAACGUACCAAAACAUCUGAUGAUUCCGGGCUUGAGCUUGAUAAUAACAAUGCAACAGUGGCAAUUGAUCCAGUAAUGGAUGGCGCUAGUGAAAUUGAAUUAGUAUUCAGGCCUCAUCCCACACUUAUGGAGAAAGAUGACAGUGCACAGACAAGAUAUAUAAAGACUUCAGGUAAUGCCACUGUUGAUCACUUAUCCAAGUAUCUGGCUGUGAGGUUAGCUUUAGAAGAACUUCGAAGCAAAGGAGAAUCAAACCAGAUGAACCUUGAUACAGCCAGUGAGAAGCAGUAUACCAUUUACAUAGCAACAGCCAGUGGCCAGUUCACUCUGUCCGUGGUCUUCAUACUCUACCAAGGCCAAUGUCAAGUUACAACUGUGACAUUUCAAGCUACAAUGUGACAUCACUGAAUGUGAAUUUGUGAAGAGAUGUGCAAUUAUCAUACCAGAGAACACUGCCACCACGUGGAUCUAGUAUACAUAAAUAACGUAAGAGCACAGAUCUUAUUCAACAUAAUUUGCCACCUACUUUGAAACCUACUCACAAAGACAAAAUCUAUUAUAUUCACCAUCUACUGGAUCACCACCAUGUGAAAGAACCCCACAACCUAACGUACAUGACAGAGUAAAGAAAUACCAGGAGCCAUCAAAGAGAAGAGGAUAACUUGGAGAAGGGAGACCAAACCUAAAGAUUAAACAAUGGCUUAAGUAAAGCAAACAAAAGACAUCUUUGUAAUUAAAGUGAGAUCUUUCUUUUUUGAUAAGAAGUCAAUAUGAUUUACUAUAUGUUCUUUUAAAUAAUUAAACAUAAGUAAACAGUAUGGCUUCUGAAUUAGUCUAAUUCCCUUUUCUUUAAGUAAUUAGUGAUAACCUUUUACUAGUACUACUAAGAGAACAGUUCUGGUAUAGUUCUGGCUUCUUUUUGGGUAUCUUAUAAUGGCUCUUUCAGUCUGGUUGAAACUCCAGAUAAGCACAAUGACUAUACUUACAUAAUCAUAUACAAAUAUAAGUGUACACAUGUUUAAGACUGAUAUUUAAGUUUUUUUUGAGGGGUACUUUUUGUUUUUAUCCUAUAUAUUGCUAUUUUCAUUAGUAGUUUACCAUGGAAAUCCUUCCAAGUAAGCUGGUAGAGAUCUAAUAUACUCUUUUCAAUGGCUGCGUAAUAUUUCGUGGUAUGUAUAUACCAUAAUUUAUUCAAUCAUCUCUCUUUUAUUUUAGUCUAAGUUUUUGUCACUAAGCACAUGCUGCAGUGAAUAUUCUUGUACAUCUAUCCUUGUCUAUUGCUUCUUUUACUCCUAGGAGAGGGAGUGCCUGGUGGAUGAAUAUUUUAAAUUGUUUAAAUGUUGCCAGAUCUCUUUCCAAAAAUGCUGUAAUAUAUACUUCACUAUCUCAGAAUCUAAUAAUAAUUCACUGUCUCUAAGAAGUCUUUUAACUUGGUAAGAUUUUGUUUUUUGUCCUUCAAUUUUAUUCAUUUAUUUAUAUGAGUCCUCUUGUUAAACUUACUCCCUCAAAUUGUGUCAUUUUUGUCACUUAGAAUUGCUUUUUUUUCUAAUUUCCAUUUAUCUAGAGUAGAGAGAGACUGAUUUUGAAUAUUUAUCUUAUAUUUCACCACCGUUCCAAAUACUCUCAUUGUUUUUUUAAGCCAUCAGCAGAAAAAAAGAGAUGUUAUCUUCCCUUUUCCAAUAUUCAUACUAAUUUUUUAAUUUAUUAUACCUUCAAAAAUGUGCAAAACUGUAGUUGUUCUAAUAUAAAAGGAAAAGUAUAACUUAUUAAAACAUAGUUCAAUAAGUAAUGUGGAUCUUAAGCACCAAGCAGAGUACCCAGUACAGAACAGAUGCUUAAUGUUUGCCAAACUAAACUACUGGUGUCAUAUAUAUCUAUUGCCUAGAGAGCUAUGUGGUCUUUUACUAAUAAGCACAUUAAAAAAGGGGCAUUAAUCUUUCAUAAUUUUAAACUGAAAAUAUUUGAUUAUGUUCUCAAUAAAAUUCCAAAACUGGUACCAAAUCUUGAAUUUCAUUUACAUCACUUUUUAGUAAGCACAAAAAUACUAACCUUCAAAUUCAACUGAGACUUUCCAGUGUAAAUUUUGAAGGUGACGAUGAAGCUUAUGACUAUUACAAGCUCUGAAUUUUUCCUUGGGGCACAAUGGACAAGCCUGUUUGUUUCCUGUUAAAGGAAAAAGAACCAAUAAAGCAGAAAAUAUACUAGCUAUUAAUGCUUAAAUUUAGCUACAAAAGUAGUAACAGGGGACCUUCUCUUGGCCCUGCCCCUCAUUCCCCAAAACACACACACACACAACUCUUAGAUAAUGUCUUUCUUAACGUUAGGGAGAAGUCAUUCCUGCCUCAGCAGGUACUUAACAAUAAUUGUUUUAGCACACAGUCAGUGACUGAUUUUUUCACCCAAAAACUCUCCUUUCUGUGGCUGGCAGAUAUCCUUGGUGCCACUGGGAACACAGAGGAUGAGGAAAUAAUAAACUACAUGAUAUCCCUCCAGCCAAAAUGCCUGCCAGAGAGAAUGCCAUUCUGUACUUUGGGCAAGGGAAAAGUCAGCGGUUGUCACACUUCCAGAGGGGCAGGAGCUGGGCAGAGAGCAAAGGUAUCUGCUCUGGUAUUCUUCUACUCUAGCAACAAAAACCAGUAAAUGUGCAGAGUUAGAAAAAUAGGAGAAGGAAGUGGAAGGAGUGGUUCAGAUCCUAUGUAACUGCUAUUCUGAGACUGGGGUCAUGGUUACAACCACUGUAUCCUACUACUAAAUUCGUAAGAUCUUCCUUCUUCAUUAGCAUAUUCUUGAAAAAGAUUAUGGAUCAUCAAAAUAGAAGCUGUAUUUAAUUAGAAAUGUAAUGUAUCUUAAUAAAAACUGUGCGUA